ACCUCCGGGCAGAAGAGGCCAAGCACAGCAGGAGCCCAACUCAGCGAAGCUCCCGCACUAGAAGUGGAAGGCGAAGAAACCCAUCGCAGGGGAAGGCCCUUGGUGCUGGAAACCAUGACAGUGAAAAACGAACUCAACAGAAAGCUCAUGCGGCCCAGUCUCAGAUUCCAGAAGACCUCUGGUUAAGACGCCCUUGAGAUGUAUCCUUGAUAACUGGAAGCUGUUCGACCCUCUAGCCCUAAGGAGAAGUCGUUUGAAAUUCUUUUGUGCUGCUGCAUGGCCCCAGUAUCCACUGGGGGACGAGGAACACUGGCCUGAGGAUGGAACUUUAAAUUACAAUAUCAUCCUGCAAUUAGAAUUAUUCUGCAAAA